rnacentral:rRNA from 1 species
CCUACGGGUGGCAGCAGUGGGGAAUAUUGCACAAUGGGGGAAACUCUGAUGCAGCAACGCCGCGUGAGUGAAGAAGUCUUUCGGUAUGUAAAGCUCUAUCAGCAGGGAAGAAAAUGACAGUACCUGACUAAGAAGCCCCGGCUAACUACGUGCCAGCAGCCGCGGUAAUACGUAGGGGGCAAGCGUUAUCCGGAUUUACUGGGUGUAAAGGGAGCGUAGACGGCUGCGCAAGUCAGAAGUGAAAGCCCGGGGCUCAACCGCGGGACUGCUUUUGAAACUGUGCAGCUAGAGAGCAGGAGCGGUAAGUGGAAUUCCUGGUGUAGCGGUGAAAUGCGUAGAUAUUAGAAGGAACACCGGUGGCGAAGGCGGCUUACUAGACUGUAACUGACGUUGAGGCUCGAAAGCGUGGGGAGCAAACAGGAUUAGAUACCCGGGUAGUC